GAUGAACGCUGGCGGCGUGCCUAAUACAUGCAAGUCGAGCGAACAGAUGAGGAGCUUGCUCCUCUGACGUUAGCGGCGGACGGGUGAGUAACACGUGGAUAACCUACCUAUAAGACUGGGAUAACUUCGGGAAACCGGAGCUAAUACCGGAUAAUAUAUUUAACCGCAUGGUUCAAUAUUGAAAGACGGUUUUGCUGUCACUUAUAGAUGGAUCCGCGCCGCAUUAGCUAGUUGGUAAGGUAACGGCUUACCAAGGCAACGAUGAGUAGCCGACCUGAGAGGGUGAUCGGCCACACUGGAACUGAGACAGGGUCCAGACUCCUACGGGAGGCAGCAGUAGGGAAUCUUCCGCAAUGGGCGAAAGCCUGACGGAGCAACGCCGCGGGAGUGAUGAAGGUCUUCGGAUCGAAAAACUCUGUUAUUAGGGAAGAACAAAUGUGUAAGUAACUAUGCACGUCUUGACGGUACCUAAUCAGAAAGCCACGGCUAACUACGUG
rnacentral:rRNA from 1 species